CUGUAUGUCCCCACAUUUUUGGCACAACUUACAAGUACAGAUAGCUGACUGGGGGAGAAGGGGCUGCAUAAGCUCCUGCUGCUGCCAAGAAUUUGUACAUCAGAGUGAACUGAAAAAAAGGCUUCUGCAUAGACGACACAGAUGGAAGUACAUCAGCAACAGGGGAAAAAAGGUCCUGUGAUGUAGAUGGCUUGCUUGAGCUUGUACACAACAUAUUCAGUGGAACAGGGGAAAGCACCGAAAUAUAAACUUCCAGACACCGCUGCAAGGAGCUGGCCUGCUACCACAUUCUAAAACUCUUCUCCAAACACUCUUUGAACCCUGAAUUUUUGGAUGUUUUCCAUAAAAGAGAGUCCAUAACAUAGAUUCAUCUUUGAGAGGACUUAAGGAAGAAUUAUGGUACUGAGGUUUUUUGUAUUUUCUAAUUGUAUAUUUGCCCUUUGUUUCAAUAUUCCGCUCUUUAUACAAGCUCCACAAUCAAGAAUAAAUAUUUACGGUAGAAUUUAGGUGGAUGUCAUAGCAAUAAGCUGUAUGUCUGCUCUCUGCUUUUCAAUGAAAUAAUCAUUAUGUAUUCCAGUUAUGCCUUUUGGGGCUUGAAAAAUGUACUCUAAAAUUCACCUGUCAAUGCUAGUUUAUCAUAAUUGCUCUAUAUUUCCAUUCUGCAGUUACUCAUGUUCUCAUAAGAUCUGCUUUCAGGCAUUUUUAAGCAUUGUUAUGAGAUAAGUGAAAAUUGAAUUAAAUUUUAAAUGAAACGUGUUAACUUGGUAUUACGGUAGAGGGCAAUUACUGCACCUCUUUGGCAAUGUGGCCCCAAAAUAAUCUUGCAUAUCUACAAAAUGCAUCAGAAAUCUAAACUGUGGGAGUGAAUGUGAAAAAAAAAAUAUCUAGGCAAAUGAAAUAUUUACAUGAAAAGAUGUUGGAAAUUAUUGUGCUUAGCUCAGUCUGGGUAAAUAAGAACUACAGAGAGAAUAAUUAUGAAUUUUAUUCCUUAGUUAUGUCUUAAUCCAAACACAAAUAACAAUGGACUUAAUAGCUCAACAAGUUUUUUGUUUGUUUGUUUGUUUUUGUUGUUGUUUUAUUUUUUUUAAUGGAGUGGUUGUCUUGCAGUCCAAAAGCCUA